rnacentral:rRNA from 1 species
AUACGGAAGGUCCGGGCGUUAUCCGGAUUUAUUGGGUUUAAAGGGAGCGCAGGCGGAGAUGCAAGCGUGACGUCAAAUUACGGGGCUCAACCCCGUCUCGCGUCGCGAACUGCGUCCCUUGGUUGCGGGAAGGGGAGGCGGAACUCGUGGUGUAGCGGUGAAAUGCAUAGAUAUCACGAAGAACUCCGAUCGCGAAGGCAGCCUUCCGGCCCGUCAACGACGCUCAUGCUCGAAGGUGCGGGUAUCAAACAGGAUUAGAUACCCUGGUAGUCCGCACAGUAAACGAUGGACACCCGCGGUUUGGCCUGUAUGGCUGAGCCGCCAAGCGAAAGCGUUAAGUGUCCCACCUGGGGAGUACGCCGGCAACGGUGAAACUCAAAGGAAUUGACGGGG